rnacentral:lncRNA from 1 species
UCGCCGGACUGGUGACGCUUCUGGAGGCGUGCAAGGCGGCGGACCCCCAGCCGGCGAUCGUAUGGGCCUCCUCGUCGUCGGUUUACGGCCUGAACGAGAAGGUCCCCUUCUCGGAGUCGGACCGCACCGAUCGCCCAGCUUCCCUCUACGCCGCCACCAAGAAGGCCGGCGAGGAGAUCACCCACACCUACAACCACAUUUACGGCCUCUCGAUCACCGGCCUCCGCUUCUUCACCGUCUACGGCCCCUGGGGCCGCCCCGACAUGGCCUACUUCUCCUUCACUAGGAAUAUUCUUCAAGGGAAGCCGAUCACGGUCUACAGCGGCAAGAAUCGCGUCGAUCUCGCCAGGG